AUUUUUUGCCUCCAGCUGGAACAUGUUCAGAAACAACCUGUGACAUUUUCACAUGCACAAGCUAAAAGUGCCCGUAUCUAUUCCUCGGUGUAUCCACAAAUGUCCAUUUACUGCUGGUUCAUUUUCUGUUCUGUUGCCAUUUCACAGCAAUAGGUUGAAAGGUGCCCUAAAGGUGAUCUUCAUGGCUCCCAGUCAAGUGCAGAAAGCCAAUGUAAAGACAGAGGCCGACUGUUGGAAAAGGUCAUUGCUGCUUUCAUCAGCUGACACAGGAACCAAUGAACAGCUCCUGUUGCAGAAGGCACACAAAAUAUGGCCGGCUCCCGGGGCACACAGAAGACAAGCUCCAAGAAAUUUCUGGAGGUACUGCUUCUGCUGGCAUGAAAUCCCUGUUGGGGUAUGGAUCUCUAAGAAUAUGAGGUUCAUAUGGAGCGUAAACUGAAAACAACUGUUGCACAAACCCAGAUACAGUGUUUCCAUGCUAUGAGCGGUGCUAUGAUCAUUCUCAGACACACCAGGAGGCACAUAUGUACAAGAGUUUCUCUGGGUGGAAACACUGGACACCAGGCAUGUGAAUGUUCACCUUUACAUGAUAAGCGAUACAAGGUAACGCCAAAUUGUUUUCCAAAGUAGUUGUACCAAUUUAUACUCCCAGCAGCACUGUGUAAACAUUGCAAUUCAUUUAUAUCAUCACCAAUUGCUUAUGUUGUCAGACUUUUGAAUUUUUGCUCAUCUAAUGGCUAUAAAAUGGUAUCUCACUGAAUAUCUCACUUAAAUUGCAUUUCCUCGUUACUAAUGAGGCUUAACAUAUUUACCUAUGCUUAUUUGCCAUUUGUUUUUUUCCGUGAGAUGCCUGCUUUUCCUUUGUAUCCAUUUUUCCCCCCUGUAGGGCUUUUUUUUCUUACUGAUUUUGUAGGCGUUCUUUAUACACAAAGAACUGGAUGCAGCUUGCAAAAUAUACAGUUCAUCUACCCUCAUAUGGCUCAUGAGGAAAACAAACGCAGAGAGGUAAGGUAACUUGCCAAAGAUCAAUUUGUGAUAGCAGACGUGCUGAGAGGAGCACCUGAAAAAAUGUUUUCUAAUAUUUUAUUUUUAUUUUUGAGAGAGGGGGGACAGCAUGAGCAGGGGAAGAGCAGAGAGAGAGGGAGACACAGAAUCCAAAGCAGGCUCCAAACUCUGAGCUGUCAGCAUAGAGCCCGAAGCGGGGCUCAAACUCACAAACCAUGAGAUCAUGACCUGAACUCUUGUUGGACGCUUAACCAACUGAGCCACCCAGGCACCCCGAACACCUGAAACUUUUAGCCCCAAAUCAAAAUUAUUUUCUCAUUAUACCAUGAAAACUCCCUUUAUUCAUUUGUCUUGUUUCCUUUAAAAAUUUUUAAAGUGCCCCGAGCAAUAUAUGUUAAUGGUAGAAAAAAGAAAAACAGACACGAGCAACAGGAAGACCGUAAAAAUUUAAUCCCACCUUCUAGAUACAACUACUGUUCACAGUCUGCAUUUCCUUUCCAGACAGUAACUAUGAUAGAUAUUUAUUAUGGAAUGCUUACCAUAGACUAAUUAGUAAUGGGGUGCUCACUAUAUGCCAGGCAUGGUUCUAAACACUUUACAUGCAUGGAUUCUUUUUGUUUUUAAGUUUUUUAACAUUUAUUUAUUUUUGA